UACGGAGGGGGCUAGCGUUGUUCGGAAUUACUGGGCGUAAAGCGCGCGUAGGCGGCUUUGUAAGUUAGAGGUGAAAGCCCGGAGCUCAACUCCGGAAUUGCCUUUAAGACUGCAUCGCUAGAAUCAUGGAGAGGUGAGUGGAAUUCCGAGUGUAGAGGUGAAAUUCGUAGAUAUUCGGAAGAACACCAGUGGCGAAGGCGACUCACUGGACAUGUAUUGACGCUGAGGUGCGAAAGCGUGGGGAGCGAUCCGG
rnacentral:rRNA from 1 species